AGUCAGGAUCUGAGGAAGUUCCAGUUUUUGUGAGAGAUCUUGAAUGUAAACUCUACCCCUCCCAACCAGUUUUCCCCUCAGCUCCUCCUCUCCCCUCCCUCUCUGCUCCAGAAAGCCCCGCCUACAAACAGACGCUCCUGCUCGCUCGUAUCGUUCCAAUUAAAUUCAGAUAUAAUGCAGAUAAAUACUUCAGAUAAUUACAAAUGGGGCCCUGUCAAGGUGAAAGUAAAAAGCAUUGGUGCUACUGUAGAUGCCAACAGACUACCAGCAAACACAAUGUUUGCAGGACUUCUACAACUAGGAUAAAGUGACAUAGUCCAGGACCCGAGGUCAACAGUUUAGUGGCGCUGCAACAUGCAGCAGGUCCCGUUUGACAAGAAACACUUCUAUUACACUUGGCUUACUUUGUUAAAGCGGUUUACCUGUCCAGCAGAAAGGUUACAGGGUCCGUAAGAUCCCGAAGCCUACCCCAUCAUUGUUGACCCGGCUUCUUAGCUCUUGUCCGGUCUACCUCCGUUUCAACCUACCUCCGGUAUUUACUUCAGGCAGUCGUGGCCAAAGAAGGAUUCAGACAAGUUUCCGAACUUUCUGGUUGGUUUCUACUGUCCGAUAUUGUACCACGCUAACUUUGUUUGGGCUCCUGAACGACACAGGGGAGCAGCGUCCUUCCCACUUUGUGCUAUUUCAGCCGUUCAACUUUUAAACUAUUCCUCUCCUUCAGGACAUGUGCGGAUGUAUUUUUCACUUUUCUACCCUUUGUACUUUUUGAUAUUUUUUACUUUUUGUGCAAAUUUUUUUCCCAUUGAAAUGAAUGGGGAAAUCUUCAAAUUCUACCUUUUACACUUCUACCUUCUCAGUCUUAUAACUUCAGCAUACUCUCACCUACAGACCUCAUCUUUGCUUUAAAAUGUUCAAUCUUCUCCUCUAAAUAUGUUGUAUUAACUUUUUUGUGCUAUCUUCUACAGUUUUACCACAAUUUAGCUUUGAGCACCUCAUGGUUUUCAGCAAAUUUUCAGGCUUUACAAUGGGUGUGUAUUGGAGAAGAUAGAGCUGAUGAUGUCAUCGCUAGAGUGGAGAGACCUUUUUUGAUCGACAAAACCUCGCUCGAAUAUAUCACUCCCACGCCCACAAAUUUCACUCCACAGCCAUAAAAAAUACAUCAAAACGGAGGAAGAUAAGUCCUGCUUCUCACAAAAGAGGUUUCAAAUCAUUAAAUCGUACCCCUUGGCCAGCAGGUGACCAACUGUCCAAAAAUGGCAGAGGUUCCUCCCAUUGACCGUAAUGUAAUCUUUCUCCAAGAAAAUCCUGAUCAUCACUGAGGGUUGAAUCUGUUUAACUCGCUGUUGUGGCCACAUUUUUUAGAGUGCAGACAUGAAAAACACAUCAUUGUAUUCUUUAGGACUUCAGGACUCCUACGAUGUUCUAAUUUUCAUUCUGGGAUUUAAGUAAAUCGCGCUAUGUGAAGAAGUAUGGGGCUCUAAAUUCACUGCAGUUAGGCCUUUGCAGUUGGUCCUUUGAUCUGUUUAGAAUGCAUUGAUAAACAGACACACACACACACACACACACACACACACUCUGACAAUGUGUGUGCGUUAGUCUCUCUCUAUGACACCAGUCCUUGUCUUCCCCUCUGUCUCAGUAAUAACAAGAAAAAAAAAAGAAAUAAAUUCUCACUUUGUUCAAGAGUCGUGUCAGGGCAUUUUCUUCAAUCAGGUAAUACGCUCCUCCUCUAAGAUUUGCCAAGACAUACUUUAACCUGUCCCUCCCUGAUAUAAAAGUGAAAGUUUACUUAACGACAGCAGCGCUGCCGUCAGGACGAGUCCAUUUGCUCCUCUGUAAAGACAUAUUCAUCAGGAGAAUAAACCAUCAACAACCGGUGAGUACUCUGCUUAAAAACACUAACUUCUGAACGGUAUUUUGUUAAACUUGACCACAAAACAGUUUCAAAAACCAAACUACAGUGACUGUACUCAGGCUGGUCUAAACUCUACAAAGUGCUAAUGUUGAGCUAUUUCACAGACUUUUGUCAUCCUGUUUCAGUCAUGAAGUUUUGAUGCUUUCAAAUCUCACUGAUUGAGUUUGUUGGGCACAUUCACAGAUAAGUCAGCAGGUAUAUUCAGCCUUCACACAGAAAACACCAGAUUAACUCAUUCAGCUACUUACAAACCAGCCGAGCUCUCUGCUGUUGGAAAACGCCCGCUGGUUUCAUGAGUUCAGAAAGUGACGUAACCAGAAUUCUUGUUCAUGUUUCAACUUGAAGCUUUUUUAUAUAUCAGAGUUCCUGCUGUUUGACUUUAUAACAAGAAUUGUUGUUCCUGUUUUAACAAGAUGGAUGGGUGUGUCUGACACCAAACUCAAAGUCGGCUUAUUUCCUGUUCAAAAUUAACGAACAGUAAAAUUCUCCCUUAGUGCCAAGAUAUAUGAGUCAUCUCAACCUGCCAACCUGAGGACGUCUCCUAACUGGUUGACUGGCUCACAGUCUUUAGAUGCGAUCACUCUGUGACUUUAAAUCUUCAUCAGAUAUUGAACUUUUUAACAGCUGGAGGUUUUCUUGACUUUCAGGAUCAUUAGUGUGUCCAAGUCCACUGACACACAGAGUAUUGUGAUCAAAGUUUGACCUUCUUUCUUGUUACAUUGUUAGAGGAUGCUGUAGACUUUCAGGUGAGGUCAGAGUUCAGAUGAGUCAAAGUCUCCAGGAUUUUAAAAAUAUUGUUCUGCUUUUUCCAAAAACACUCUGCAGUCUUUCCUUUUUCCAGAUUUAGGCCAGAAUUUAACUGAAAGUCACCAAAUUAUUCAUGACAGUAUCACGAUGAUGAUGACAAGGAUAGACUCAAAAAUAGAUCUACAGUAUAUGUUUAGUGUUUUAAUGUGUUGAUCUUCCACUGAUAAUCCUCAGGUUGUAAAAAUGUCUGCUGCCAGCUGUCUGCUGACUGAAGAUCAGUUCCGGUGCUCCAUCUGUCUGGAUGUCUUCACUGAUCCUGUCACCAUACCAUGUGGACACAACUUCUGUAAAUCCUGCAUCUCUCAACACUGGAAUGUCAGUGUUCCACAUCGGUGUCCAAACUGUAAAGAGGUUUUCUUCAGAAGACCAGAGCUGAAGAGCAACACCUUAAUCUCUGAGAUUUCCGCUCAGUUCAGACAGUCAGCUCAUCAGGAAGCCAGCAGCAGCAGCUCAAAGGAACGAGUUUCCAAACCAAGAGAAGUUCCCUGUGAUUUCUGCACUGGAACCAAACUGAAGGCCCUCAAGUCCUGCCUGGUGUGUCUGGCCUCCUACUGUGAGACUCACCUGGAGCCUCACCUGACAAUGUCAGGUCUGAAGAGACAUCAGCUGAUGGAGCCUGUGGAAAACCUGGAAGGAAGAAUAUGUGAGAAACACGACAAACUGCUGGAGCUGUUCUGUAAGAACGACCAGAUGUGUGUCUGCGUGCUCUGCAGUGUUAAAGACCACAGGACCCAUGAUGUUGUUCCUCUGAGAGAAGAAUAUAAAGGAAAGAAGGCCGAGCUGGGGAAGACAGAGGCUGAAAUUCAGCAGAUGAUCCUGCAGAGACGACUGAAGAUUGAAGAGCUCAAAGAGUCAGUGGAGCUCAGUAAUCAGAAUGCAGACAGAGAGAUGGCUGAAGGUGUGGAGGUCUUCACGGCUCUGAAAGAACCUGUAGAGAGAAGCCAGGCCGAGUUCAUCCACACCAUCAAAGAGAAGCAGAGAGAGACGGAGGAACAGGCUGAAGGCUUCAUCACAGAGCUGCAACAGGAAAUCUGGGAGCUGGAGAAGAGGAGCUCUGAGCUGGAGCAGCUCUCACACUCUGAAGACCACCUCCACCUCCUCCAAAACUUCACCACCCUGAACGCUGCUCCACCCACCAAGAACUGGACUGAAGUCCGAGUCCACCCACCUUCAUAUGAGGGGACUGUGGUGAGAGCUGUGGACCAGCUGGAGAAGAUGCUCAGGAAACUGAAGAAGAAGCUGAUUGAGGCCGAGCUGAAGAGAGUCCAGCAGUGUGAGGUGGAUGUGACACUCGAUCCUGAUACAGCACAUCCAGCUCUCAUCCUGUCUGAUGAUGGAAAACAAGUUUAUUGUGGUGAUGUGAAGAAGAGUCUACCAAACAAUCCAGAGAGAUUCAGUAAAUACAUUAUGGUCUUAGCAAAGCAGAGUUUGUCUUCAGGCAGAUUUUACUUUGAGGUUCAGGUUAAAGGGAAGACUGACUGGACUUUAGGAGUAGUUAGAGAGUCCAUCAACAGGAAGGGAAAAAACUCUCUGUCUCCUCAGAAAGGUUUCUGGACAAUUUGGUUGAGAAAUGAAAAUGAGUACACAGCUCUUGAUGACCCUCCUGUCAAUCUCUGUCUGCAGUCUGUUCCUGAGAAGGUGGGGGUGUUUGUGGACUAUGAAAAGGGUCUGGUCUCCUUUUAUGACGUUGAUGCUGCAGCUCUGAUCUACUCCUUCACCGGCUGCUCCUCUAAAGAAAAACUCUUUCCAUUCUUAAGUCCCUGCGACAACUAUGGUGAUAAAAACUCUGCUCCUCUGAUCAUCUCUCCGGUCAAUCACACUGAGUAGAUGUUCUGAACAACGAUAACCAUCAUUAAUAGAAUAAAUCUACAUUAUUAUGAUGUUUUUACUUUAAAAUUCACAUCAGUAUGGAUACCAACAAUUUAAGUCCAUCUUUUUUUAAAUAUGCAGCAUUACUUCUUACUUCACUAAACCAAUGUUACAGUUUUGAUCAGUUUAAUCAAGUGUUAUUUUAUCAGUGUUCAGAACUUCUUUACCUUCACACCAGACUGUUAAAUCAGCUCAAAUCCUACUCAUCAUUCUUUAUUCUCAUCUUUAAAGUCUCUCUGCUGAGUUUAAGACCUCAUCUUUCUCUGAUCGUACCAGCAAAUGUCACUAAUGUCAAAGGGCUCUAUUUUCAUGUACGCCGGCGAGGCGACGGAGGGUGGCGGACCCCGCGCAGUUGUAUUUUUGUCUGGCGGAGCCCGGCAUAAAGCCAGUUUGGUAUUUUCGUGGACUGAGGCACACGGAGGCGAACCGAGGUCCGCCAAGCUGGGCGUGGUGGGGUGGCAGGGGGAGGUGUCGACAGAAUCAGCGGGCGCAGUGACAUUUUCGUGCUCGCCAGUGUCGUGUAAAGUGCACUGAAAGCUCGCCGAUUCAAACCUGGUCAGCUUUCAGUGCAGGCGGAGCGCAGCUGGUCUAGUGGUAAUUUGGUAGACCAGCGGCGUAUCGGCAUACGUCACCAAUGCCUCACCGACAGGUUUCCACAGUGUCAGGCACAUUUCAGUGCAAUAAAUAAUAAUCAACAACUAAUAAUCUGAGUCAGCACAUACAUCUAGAUCUAUAUAGAUAUAUUCUGAUCUAUAUCUGAUCUGAUGAGCGCAUUUGGCACGCGUUUGGACACACAACCUGACCGAAUCAACACAGCUGAAACCGCAUUUAAUUGAAUUAAAUAUCUAGUAAAUAGACACACAUGAUGAAGUUAACUAGAUAUGUAAUUCGUCUCCCUCCUUUUCUUUCUUCCUCUUCCUCUUAUUUUCGCGCAGCUCGACCUGGACAUGUCUCCAUGUCCUCUCUCCGUCUUGCUGCAGCGGCGGCUGAACAGAUGAUUUGUUUCAGUGCUCGGAUGCGUUAUCUACUUCAAGCCGACAUACGGAUAUUAUAAUAUUCAGUUUUGAGAGCCAAAUUUAUUUUAUAUGCCAACAUCUAUGAACGAAAGAGCCAGGCCACGGAGCGCGAUGCGUCAUUUAAUUUUAAUUUUAUUUUAAUUUUAAUGCCAUUUUUGGAGUUUAUGUUGUGAUCUGUGCGCACAACCCACCUUUGUCACGUGAGGUUUGAAUAUACGCAACUUUAUGUAAGUGUCUUAAUUAGUGGAAAAGGGUGUUUUUCUUACCCGUGGGUCCAACAUUACACACACCAAAUCCAUCUGUGCUCAUAUGAGAGAGUGUGGAGGAUACCCAAUGCAGCGCUUACAGUGACACUUGUUGAGCUGCUGCCCUUUGUCACCAUCGUGUGGCAUUACUAUCUUCAGACAUCUCUUGAUCUCUCUGACUACUUCACAAAAAUAGUAAUAUGCCUCGCCGGUGGCGGAUUUAAAGGCCAGGAGAGGAGCUUAUGUGAUUGGUGAAAACUGGUCUCGGCUGUUAAAUCCAUUCCACGCCCUCUCUCCUCCCUUGCAACGAUUUAAGCCGCUGGGAGGAGCUGAGUUAGGGAGGGGGGAUACUUACGCCGGGCUGCGCUGCUCACAAAAAUACCAAAUUGUGCUUGGGAACGCCUUGUUGGCGCAGCGGACCUGACUUAUGCCGCACCUGCGGCACGUCUCUGGCGAGGCACGAAAAUAGAGCCCAAAGAGUAUUUGUCAGAUAUGUCAAUAAUAAACAACUAAACUAACAGUCUGCUUUCUGUUCCAGUUAUUGCAGCGACAAUAACCACGGAUGAAUGAAUGAAUGGAUGAUUGUAAAAUUGACCACACCAGUCCAUCCAAAUAAAUCAGUAAAUGAGAAUUCUGGGUCUUUGGCGACUCAGUGGUCUAAAACAUUAAAACAUAUCGUAUAUCUGCAAUUGAGAACACAGAUCUAAUGGCCGAAAAGGCAAAAACACAUAAAUCAUGACUUUUUGGAUCAGCGACCGUCUGUGUGAGAUCAGAAAAAGUUUAAGUCUCUCUGUAAGUCUCUUCUCAGUCUGCCUUCAUCAAUGACUCCUCUUGUGAACAGACAUGUAAUAAACUGACUUCACAUCAUUCAUGUCUGAUUUUAAUGGUUGUACCAAGAAUGAGUUAUCACUUUAUAACUGUUUUUCUUGAUAAUAAUAUCUGGAAUUACAUUACAGGGCUGUACUGUGGUGAUAAAAUAGCAAGGCUUCAAGUGUUGUGACCUACUGAUGACAAGAACCUGUACUGACCCUGAAAAACAGAUAUCCAUAAACCCUUACUAAUUUGAGACACUUCCAUAAAAAAAUGCAAAUGAUGUUUUUGUUCAUUAACAAGAACAAAUAAAAGUAAAAACGUUGAUGUUUCAGCAUGUUAGUUCUCUAUUAUGUCGAUAUCAGAGUUAAUAACAGGAUUGUUCAAAACUGGACAAAAUCUAAAUAAACCAUCACAUCAUCAAAUUAAUAUUUAGUAGUCCUGCUGUUAGCAUGCAGUCGAGCUUGAACCCUGAUUGGUAUAUUCUCCACCAGCCUUUCACAUUGUUGAGGGGUAACCCUGUCUCAUUCUUGAAUCACUUCCUUUAAUUCUUCCAGUUUCUUUGGUGUAAGCUUUAAAACUAUAAACUGUUUAUAGAAUGGACGCUGUCUGCCUCCUCGCUGGGUGAAGCCACCGCGAGAACAGCGACCUCUGGUGACGGGCUGCAGUAUAGGUCAUAAAUCCCUCCUCCUCCAGCAAUCCCUAUGGAGCUGUGGACAAACUUUAGAAAUUAAUUACACAGAAUAUAAAUGUUUCUCCCCCCUGGUUGUGAUGUUGACAUGUAGUUACAGUAAGACUGGUUUGUGCUCAAGUCCGUUUUUUUCUGUACAGCUCCGUUUUUAAAAGUUAUUAGGGGGUUCAUGUUUUCUUUGAUUGACACUUGAUACAGCCUAUGGGCGUAUGAAGAUUAUGUAGCUCAUCCGCGGCAUAUGCUGUUUGAGCAGAGCGUCAUCACAGCGACUCUCCCACUGAAUGCGUACAACGCUACUGCACAAGUGGUGGUUCCAGGAAGUGGAGAAUAUCCCGGAAAUACCGAGAGCAAUUCGGCUUCAAAUUCAUAUGAUGGCUGAAGGCGAAGCCAAGUUGUCCAUAGUAUAUACAGUCUAUGUUUGAAAUGGACUUCUUGAUAAACCAAAUCCACAGAUUUGGGAAUCACCUAGCAUCCAGUUUCAACCUGGACAGACCUGUGCACGUGCAGGAGGGAGCAUGUGGGUUUCAAGAACGCCACAAAACUUUGCAGAGUUCAGUGUACCAUCACAGACAGUGAGAUGUCCAACACCAGCAGCACUCGCACAUCCCCAAACCAGGAUACCACCUCCACUAUGCUUGACGGUAGCUACUGUACAUGUUGGAGAUAAUGCUUCACCUAACCUUCUGCGUACACUCACAUUAACAGAAGGAGGAUUAAACUGGAAACUGGACUCAUCCCACCAAAGAAUCUUCUACUAGUUCCUGGCUGUCCAGUUUUUGUGUGCUUGGUCUCUCACUGAUCAGGGGCUUCUUGACAGCUUUGCCGGACCUCAAGCCAUGAUCUAGGAGUCGGCCAUGUACAGUGCAGGUGGAACACUGGACACUGGUUUGGUUAGACCACUGCUGCUGAAGCGCGUGUGAUGUCAUUUGGUGGUUUUCCCUGCACAGGAUCAGGACCAGGAUGCAGUAAUUUCUUCAAACAUGCUGACUUUACAUCGACACAAAGGACAACAACAAAACUGUGUCUACAAUAAAAGGCAUGACUAGAGUCAUUAGUGAUCAGUGGUACCAAAAUGACUCAAUAUUCAAAAUCUCUUACAUAUUUCUAUUAACUUAAUCAAUAUGAUGUUUUUACUGGCUUUUAUGAUUGGACUAGUGUUUUGGUUGAGAUUGUACAAGGCCUUGGACGAUAAUCAAUAAAUCAAUUAACCGCACGAUAAGUGAAAAGGAACUCAAUAAUUUUUCCGGCCUUGAUAUAUCGCCAUGUGCACGCGUGUAUUUGUUUUCCUCGUCUUGCGCCUCCAAACACGCUGGAUGACACGAUGGUUCACUCUGUGCAUCGGUGUCAGCACCUGGGCGCGUUUGUGCCUUAGCGGAAUCUAAUGAAGAGAGUGAACCAUCUUGUCAGUCUUUCAGGAUCUUUGUAUCUGAUGGGGGAGAUGCCGCAGAUCCGCAAGCGCACAAGACAGAGUAGACUAGUUAGCCACGUGAGGGGCAUGGAAGAGCAAAGCCAAAGGCCACAGCCCCGGUGUGGGAAUAUUUCGGCUUCAAGCCCAAUGAGCAAGGUGGGAUCAUCAACAUAGACGAACCAGUAUGCCAACUUUGUUUAAAAAUGGUAGCAACAAAAUAAGGCAACACCACAAACUUGCAUGCCCACCUCAAACACUAUCACCUGGUCGAGUUUUCCCAGCUGGGAAAAAAAAAAACCCAAGAUGCAGAACCGUCGGCCCGACAGUCAACGCUUACUGAAGCGUUUGGUUGAUAAAGCAAGAUACAGUCAGAACAGCGCAAAAUGUUGUGCGCUCACAGAAAGUGUUGUUCACUACAUUGCCAAAGAAAUGCUGCCAUUUAAUACAGUUGAAAAGCCAGCAUUUUAUUGUUGUUCGUUUGUUUUAUUUAUUUAGGAUAUUUAAAAGUUUUCGUUCUGGACAGUCCAAUGAGAAAUGAAGGUUUGAUUGUUGCAUCUGAAAGGGUGUACUUGCAUUAUGAUAUAUUAACAUUACACAAGUGGUUAUAUUGGUCUAGAUAAUGUCAACAAUGAUAUUGUUUAUCGUCAAUAAUUUGUGGGCCAAUUUAUCGUCCAGCAAAAUUUGUUAUCGUCCCAGGCCUGGAUUGUACGAAAAGAAAUUGCACUUGGAGACUGAAAAGUGAUUCCUCAUGCAAUAUAUCACAAACACACGAGGCAUCCAAAAACUUUUCUCCACAAUCGUUGAGUAAAGGUUGGUGUUGGUGGUGUUGGUGGUCCCUCAUACCAACAGGAAUCACAAACUUCACAAGUGAACAAAGGCCAGCUUUCAUUUACUUGUAGUUUCAUAUUUCUAAUAUCGACUAUGGAAAUGUGGAAGAAAACUCAUCGACUUCCAUGCACCACAGCCCUAAACAGCACAACAUAAUUCUCUUGAAUGUAACCUACUUGGGAUAUUGUGUUUGUAAUUUUCUCACAUUUUUAAAAAAUACAGAAGCAGACAUGCGUCCAUACGUUGCAAUUUACUCCAUUUUCACACAUUAACAAGUUAACUUAAGUUGUUAUCAGGCUUUUGAAAUUGUUGAUUUUUGCUAAUAAACUUUUUGGCACGUCUGAAAUCCAUCUCUAGGGAGGGUUAUUUCAUGAUAGGUUCUUGUUAGUUUAGUUUUUUUGUCACCCUGUGUGUUAUUAGUCCUUGUCUUCCCCUCUGUCUCGGUAAUAACAAGAAAAAACAAGAAAUAAAUUCUCACUUUUUUCAAGAGUCGUGUCAGGGCAUUUUCUUCAAUCAGGUUAUACACUCCUCCUCCUAGAUUUGCAAAGACAUACUUUAACCUGUCCCUCCCUGAGAUAAAAGUGAAAGUUUACUUAACCACAGCAGCGCUGCCGUCAGGACGAGUCUGUUUGCUCCUCUGUAAAGACAAAUUCAUCAGGAGAAUAAACCAUCAACAACCGGUGAGUACACUGCUUUAAAAAGCAGAAAAAACACAAACUAACUUGUCAACAGUAUUUUGUUAAACUUGACCACAAAGCUGCUUCAAAAACCAAACUACAGUGACUGUCCUCAGGCUGGUCUAAACUCCACAAAGUGCUAAUGUUGAGCUAUUUCACAGACUUUUAUCAUCCUUUUUCAGUCAUGAAGUUUUGAUGCUUUCAAAUCUCACUGAUUGAGUUUGUUGGGCACAUUCACAGAUAAGUCAGCAGGUAUAUUCAGCCAUCACACAGAAAACACCAGAUUAACUGGUUCAGCUACUUACAUUCCAACCUGAUGGAUGGGUGUGUCUGACACCAAACUCAAAGGUGGCAUAUUUCCUGUUCAAAAUUAACGAACAAUAAAAUUCUCCCUUAGUGCCAAGAUACAUGAGUCAUCACAACCUGCCAACCUGAGGACGUCUCCUAACUGGUUGACUGGCUCACAGUCUUUAGAUGCGAUCACUCUGUGACUUUAAAUCUUCAUCAGAUAUUGAACUUUUUAACAGCUGGAGGUUUUCUUGACUUUCAGGAUCAUUAGUGUGUCCAAGUCCACUGACACACAGAGUAUUGUGAUCAAAGUUUGACCUUCUUUCUUGUUACAUUGUUAGAGGAUGCUGUAGACUUUCAGGUGAGGUCAGAGUUCAGAUGAGUCAAAGUCUCCAGGAUUUUAAAAAUAUUGUUCUGCUCUUUCCAAAAACACUCUGCAGUCUUUCCUUUUUCCAGAUUUAGGCCAGAAUUUAACUGAAAGUCACCAAAUUAUUCAUGACAGUAUCACGAUGAUGAUGACAAGGAUAGACUCAAAAAUAGAUCUACAGUAUAUGUUUAGUGUUUUAAUGUGUUGAUCUUCCACUGAUAAUCCUCAGGUUGUAAAAAUGUCUGCUGCCAGCUGUCUGCUGACUGAAGAUCAGUUCCUGUGCUCCAUCUGUCUGGAUGUCUUCACUGAUCCUGUCACCAUACCAUGUGGACACAACUUCUGUAAAUCCUGCAUCUCUCAACACUGGAAGACUAACACCUCCUGUCAGUGUCCAAACUGUAAAAGGGUUUUCAACCCAAAACCUGAGCUACACGUCAACACCUUCAUCUCUGAGAUGUCCGCUCAGUUCAGACAGUCAGCUCAUCAGGAAGCCAGCAGCAGCAGCUCAAAGGAACAAGUUUCCAAACCAGCAGAAGUUCCCUGUGAUGUCUGCACUGGAACCAAACUGAAGGCCCUCAAGUCCUGCCUGGUGUGUCUGGCCUCCUACUGUGAGACUCACCUGGAGCCUCACCUGACAAUGUCAGGUCUGAAAAGACAUCAGCUGAUGGAGCCUGUGGAGAACCUGGAAGGAAGGAUAUGUGAGAAGCACGACAAACUGCUGGAGCUGUUCUGUAAGAGCGACCAGAUGUGUGUCUGCGUGCUCUGCAGUGUUACAGACCACAGGACCCAUGAUGUUGUUCCUCUGAGAGAAGAAUAUGAAGGAAAGAAGGUCGAGCUGGGGAAGACAGAGGCUGAAAUUCAGCAGAUGAUCCAGGAGAGACGACUGAAGAUUGAAGAGCUCAAAGAGUCAGUGGAGCUCAGUAAUAAGAAUGCAGACAGAGAGAUGGCUGAAGGUGUGGAGGUCUUCACGGCUCUGAAAGAAUCUGUAGAGAGAAGCCAGGCCGAGUUCAUCCACACCAUCAAAGAGAAGCAGAGAGAGACGGAGGAACAGGCUGAAGGCUUCAUCACAGAGCUGCAACAGGAAAUCUGGGAGCUGGAGAAGAGGAGCUCUGAGCUGGAACAGCUCUCACGCUCUGAAGACCACCUCCACCUCCUCCAAAACUUCACCACCCUGAACGCUGCUCCACCCACCAAGAACUGGACUGAAGUCCGAGUCCAUCCACCUUCAUAUGAGGGGACUGUGGUGAGAGCUGUGGACCAGCUGGAGGAGACGCUCAGGAAACUGAAGAAGAAGCUGUUUGAGGCCGAGCUGAAGAGAGUCCAGCAGUGUGAGGUGGAUGUGACACUCGAUCCUGAUACAGCACAUCCUGAUCUCAUCCUGUCUGAUGAUGGAAAACAAGUUUAUUGUGGUGAUGAAGAGAAGAAUCUACCAGACAAUCCAGAGAGAUUUGAUCGUUGUGUUAAUGUUUUAUCAAAGCAGAGUUUGUCUUCAGGCAGAUUUUACUUUGAGGUUCAGGUUAAAGGGAAGACUGAGUGGGAUUUAGGAGUAGUUAGAGAGUCCAUCAACAGGAAGGGAGACAUCACCCUGACUCCUGAGGAUGGUUUCUGGACGAUUGUGUUGAGAAAUAAAAAUGAGUACGAAGCUUGUGCUAGCCCUUCAGUCCGUCUCUCUCUUCAGUCUGCUCCUGAGAAGGUGGGGGUGUUUGUGGACUAUGAGGAGGGUCUGGUCUCCUUUUAUGACGUUGAUGCUGCAGCUCUGAUCUACUCCUUCACCGGCUGCUCCUUCAAAGAAAAACUCUUUCCAUACUUUAGUCCCUUUCUAAACGAUGGUGGUAAAAACUCUGCUCCUCUGAUCAUCUCUCCGGUCAAUCACACUGAGUAGAUGUUCUGAACAACAAUAACCAUCAUUAAUAUAAUAAAUCUACAUUAUUAUGAUGUUUUUACUUUAAAAUCCACAUCAGUAUGGAAACCAACAAUUGAAGUCCAUCUUUUUUUAAAUAUGCAGCAUUACUUCUUACUUCACUAAACCAAUGUUACAGUUUUGAUCAGUUUAAUCAAGUGUUAUUUUAUCAGUGUUCAGAACUUCUUUACCUUCACACCAGACUGUUAAAUCAGCUCAAAUCGUACUCAUCAUUCUUUAUUCUCAUCUUUAAAGUCUCUCUGCUGAGUUUAAGACCUCAUCUUUCUCUGAUCGUACCAGCAAAUGUCACUAAUGUCAAAGUGUAUUUGUCAGAUAUGUCAAUAAUAAACAACUAAACUAAGAGUCUUCUUCCUGUUUCAGUUGUUGCAGCGACAAUAACCACGGAUGAAUGAAUGGAUGAUUGUAAAAUUGACCACACCAGUCCAUCCAAAUAAAUCAGUAAAUAGGAAUUCUGGGUCUUUGGAGCCUCAGUGGUCUCAAGGCCUCAAGUGUUGUGACCUACUGAUGAUCAGAACCUGUUCUGACCCUGAAAAACAGAUAUCCAUAAACCCUUACUGAUUUGAGACACUUCCAUAAAGGAUUCUUGUCAGCCUCUUUUCAUGAUGAAUUAACAUCUAAACAAAUACUUUAAUUCAGUUUCCUGUCCGUUCACUUAUCUCCCUGCUUUCAGUUGUUUCAUCUUUUGCCAUUAUUUACUGACAACAUGUGAAAGAUAUCACUGGUUUAUUUCUAUAUGAAUAAUCUUACUGAUAAUAUUGAUUGAAGUGUAUUGGAAGUGAUAUAAUCAUGAUUAAAUGUGCUCACUUCAAAACAUCAACAGUCUCUGUGGCCCUGAGACUCUCCAGCAGACUGUUCCACAAACGGGGACCAUAGAAACUGAAAGCCGCCUCCUCGUGAGUUUUUGCAAACUUUGUAAGAUUUCUGAGGUUUUGUUUUCCCACUUCAAGCCUCCAGUUUACUCCCUCUGUUCCUGUUUUUUUCCUUUUAUAGACGGCCCCAGAGUGAGACGGUGAAGUCGAGUUUCAACUGCAAGAAUCUCCCCAGACGGAUGAGAGACGGAUGAGACAUAAGAACAAGCUGAAGCUGAACUCAACUUCACACACUUGAGACGAUACAAAGACUCAAACCGCUUCAGUCUAGAGGGUCAGAGGUCAGGUCAGAAAAACACCCCAAAAUCAAAACGCUGUGAACUUCGAGAUGACCUGAGAGGGCUGUAUCUACUUUGUCCACUAGAUGGCGUGCUAGAGCUGAAAAUAAUUUGCUCAGAUAAGAAUAACAGGAACCUUUAGAGUUUAUUUUAAUCUGUUUUAGGACCAAAUCAGAGGUUUUCUUGGACAUUCAGAUCUUUAAUAGUACAUGGUUACUGCACAAGAAUUAUCACACUGUUGAUUCUCACUGAGGGAUUUAUGAGCAUAGGUGUCCAUGUUCAUGUUUUCUGUGGACCAUUUCUUCUAUUUAUUAAAUCAAGUUUGGCUACAAGUAAUAAUGUGAUGUUUAAGUUUAUGUAAACGUUCAUACUUUCCUUAAAUCUACCACAGAUGUUUAGCUCGAGUAAACGGCGUGUUACAUAAAUGAUUUAAUUAUUCAUGGAGCACAGGAUGUUCUUCUUUUCUCAGUUUCUGUCUGGAAAUUAAAAUGUCUAUUUGAGUUAAAAGCUGUGUGAGGAAAGUAAAAACAUCUGAUUUAAGACCGAUUUAGAAAAAGCAAGCAAAAACAAACUUCUCAAAAAUUGAAAUGAGAUUAAUCUUGAUCACAUAACCGAAAUAAUUUCAACAUAUCCGAGGUUUUUUGGUGUUUCUCGUGGAGUUUAUCCGGAUCGAUGACUCCCCCAUCAUCCACCUCCCCCGCCUUCUUUAACCCUCUUGUUAUUAAUCUUUUUAAUCAUAUCAGCAUUUCUGUGAGAUUUUACCUUUUCAAGCAUUUUAAUAAUAUUACAGACCAUGAACUUAUUGUCCCCUUUUAAAGCUGUUAAAUAAUAUGUAUUAUUCUUUUACCUUUUCACAUACUAUUUUUAACAUGUAACAGAUGAGAAUAUAGUACUUUCAACUUGUCACACUUAGCUCUUGUCCGGUCUACCUCCGUUUUAAGCGCCCGUUAUUCCUCCAGAGUCUCCGAUAUUUACUGUGUUUUCUUGCUUGUGUCGGCAGUCGUGGCUAAGGGAGGAUUCACGCAAGUUUCUGUACUUUCUGGUUGGUUUCUACUGUCCGAUAUUGUAUCACGCUAACUUUGUUUGGGCUCAUGAACGACACGAAAAGUCAAUAUUUACAAAAAUGAAAGGUAGUUUUAUGAAUAAUGAUAAAAAUAGUUAAAUACUAAUUUAUAAAACACAACAGAUAUAGAGCAUUUUCUUUUCUUUUUCUCUUUUUUUGGCUGGAACUUUUAUUUUUUGGUCACAACUAAACAGCUCAAAAAUCUCCUCUCUCUUUUCUCUCACUCCUCUCUCUCUUUUCCUCUCCACUCCUCUGUUAUAUGUAGUGCCUUAUUAAUUUGAGUUCAUUCUUUAAGUUGUUUGAUUCUGUGAUAGCUCUUAUUUUUCUUGUUGAUGAUGUAAGAUCACCUCAUAAUCUCAGGAAUGUAAUUUUUGGGUCAAAGUUUUCAAAUAUCCCGCAGUUAAGGCAGACCUUGAACGCCUCAUGUCCGGUUGUCCCUGUAUUGCGUGAUUGACAGGUGUCACGAGCGUAUCGCCAAUCAUUGUCAAGUUUGGGUGAGGAGUGGGACCUGUCAGUUUUUGGGAAGACGGGGUUUUCAUCUCAGUGAGAGAGAAGCGGUGAUUGACAGAGCGGAAAAAUGCUGACAAGCGAUGCCGAGAGAAGGCGAAAUAAUAGUGUGAAAGUUUGUUCUUUCGUUGUUAAGUGUUAAAUGAAGACCCAACAGGAUUGAGGCUCGGUGUAUUGGAUCGGGGCGGGGGUGUGUGGUUGUUUCGAGACGUGCGGGUGAGUGUUGUUGGUAAAUUCAGUGAGGUUCGUAAAUGUGCUAUAUGCUAAAUUGUUAGCUGACUAGCAUCGACUGUGCAGGAGCAGAGGAAGACUGGAGUCAGGAUGCAUGUGCGAGGUCGGAGUUCCUGAGUGAGUAUCAGACUGCUUAUUGUCAUCUCAGGCACUUUGUGAGUGAGUACGUGUAUGUGAAGUUUUUUUUUUUUUGUGCUGUCAGUGUGCUUCGGAUUCUGGCCACUCGUGCUGCGACAGUAGAGGUGCUCCGGACUUGCCGCGCCCAGGGACUUCGGCAUGCGGACCGACUUUCUCCUUCUUCCAUUCUGUGCUUCCAUGAUGGUUAUAACAACACACUAAAUUUGUAAGGGACCGUGAGUACAAACGACUUGGAAAUCACACCCACACAAGAGCUCCAACAGCGCGCCAACGUACGUGGUACCACAGACUGAUUUAUAAAAUCCCGCGUAUUAAGAACUAUUUUUUUUCCUCUCUUUUUAUUUCUUCAUCCUGUGAAUAAAUGUGAACAUUUGUGAAUUUAAACGUAUAGUUGCUGUUGAUUGACAUAGACAAAGUGGCAUCAGUCAGGCAGAAUAUCAGUUAUAUGUUAACGUCCCCCAAUGAUGUGUGUGCUCCUCCUGCACUAUCUGCUGUUUUUGAGAACUUCGAAACAAUUUCUCUGUCGUCUCUCACUAAGGUGGUUAGUGGCUUAAAACCCACUAACUGUCCCUUAGACAUUAUUCCAGCCAAGUUUCUAAAGGAGGUAUUUAGUUCUGUUGGAUCAAGCUUGCUGUUUUUUAUCAACACCUGUCUUAGCUCAGGGUCUGUCCCAGCUGCUUUCAAACAUGCUGUGGUUAGGCCCCUCCUCAAAAAAACGCAUCUUGACCCCACUGUGCUGUCCAAUUUUGGGCCUGUCUCCCACCUGCCAUUUCUUUCUAAGGUUUUGGAAAAAGUUGUCUCCUUUCAAUUGCAUGCAUUUUUAGAGGUAAAUUCUGUUCUUGAUAAAUUUCCGUCUGGUUUCAGGUCUCGACAUAGCACUGAGUCAGCACUGUUAAAGGUACAUAAUGAUAUUGCCCUGUCCGUGGAUGCUGGAAACCCCGCUGUGCUGGUCCUGCUGGACCUCACAGCGGCUUUUGAUACAGUCGAUCAUGCAAUCCUUGUAUCUCGCCUUGAGCAGUAUGUAGGCAUCCGUGGCACCGCUCUCAAAUGGUUUAAGUCGUACCUGGCAGAUAGGAGUUUUUCCGUGAUGAUUGGUGACCUCUGCUCCUCACAGGCGCCUCUCUCUUGUGGGGUGCCACAGGGCUCUAUUCUUGGCCCUAUUCUGUUCUCUUUGUAUUUACUACCCCUGGGAUCAAUUAUAAGAAAAUACAAUCUGUCUUUUCAUUCGUAUGCUGAUGACUUACAGUUAUAUUUGCCCAUGCGACCCAACGAGAACAGUGCACUUUCUCACUUACUGGACUAUAUUACUGAAGUAAAACAGUGGUUGGCUCUGAACUUUUUGCACCUAAAUGACAGCAAAACUGAGUGUAUUUUAUUUGGCACGCCAUCGAUAUCAAACGUUUCGAUUACAGACUCUGGAAAUCUGGCGCCUUUUUUCAAGCCGCAUGUAAAGAAUCUUGGGGUAACAUUUGACAGUGGACUUAAGUUCGAUAAACAGAUUAGAUCUGUCGUCAGUACCAGCUUUUUUCAACUGCGUCUCCUGGCCAAAGUGAAGUCCUUUUUAAGUCGGCAGGACCUCGAGAAGGCAAUCCAUGCCUUCAUCAGUUCCAGACUGGACUAUUGUAAUGCCCUUUAUGUUGGCCUCAGCCAGUCUUUAAUCUCCCGUCUCCAGCUUGUACAGAACGCUGCUGCACGAUUUUUAACGGGCACGUCUAGGCGUGAACACAUCACCCCUGUGCUGUCUUCGCUACACUGGCUUCCAGUUUGUUUUAGAAUUGACUUUAAACUUUAAUUAUUUACUUUUUUGCCAUAAAUGGCCUGGCCCCCUCCUACCUGUCAGAGAUUUUAACUGUUCGCGAUCAUGGCAGGGCCCUCCGUUCCUCCGGUCAGCGCCUGUUGGAGGUCCCGAGGUCAAAACUCAAACAGUGGGGUGAUCGUUCUUUUGCUGUUGCAGCUCCUAGGCUGUGGAACAGACUGCCGCUAGAUGUACGCACCACCACUGACCUCAGUUUAUUUAAAUCAAAGUUAAAGACGCACCUUUUUAGACUUGCUUUUAACUCUGACUAGGUAGUCCUGUACUUAUAGGUUUUUAGCACUUCUACAUACUAUUUUAUUGUAUUAUUUUAUUUUCAUAUUCAUUUUUAUUAUUUCAUCGUUCUUGUAUUAUUGUAUUCUAUUGUAUUAUUUUAUAAUGGUAUUUUUUCUUGUGUUAUUUUAUUGCUUUUAUGUAAAGCACUUUGGGUACCAUUUGGGAUAUUGUAAAGUGCUAUAUAAAAAAAAUUUGAUUGAUUGAUUGAUUGAUUGAUUGAUGUUGUGCACAUUUGGGGGGCUAUCUUAAGACAUGCAUGGGAGUUAACACUCACACAGACACGUCACACAAUUCCCUGGUUUAUAUUUUGUAGCAUCACCACUUCCUCUCCUAUGCAAAAUACUGUGUGUAUGAUCCGGUAGGUAAUAGUAUUUUUAAAAAAUAGGAAUUGAGUGAGGGGGCUACAUAUAUUUAAAUUAACUUGUUUUUGUUCAUUAUUAAUUAUCUCAGAGUCACUCAGACAAAUUUGUCAAAGCUCUGCUGCUUCUUUGAAAUCUUACCCUACCUGCUGAAACCUGACACCAUAGUCUGGACGCUUCCUGGUUCAUUUGCAUACUAAACAGUGAUUGGAUGUUUACUGAGGGGGAGGGGCAUGUGUGUGAGAGAGCCUGAGAACAAACACACACACACACAGCAGAGUGGAGGGACAGAGAAAACAGAGGAAGAGGAUUCUGUAUUUUGUCCUUUUUCAGCAGAUUUCUCUGCUACUGCAGUUACUUUUAUCAACUUGUAAAUUCAAAUGUGCUCUCUUAACUUCUAAAAUUUUGAUUUGAAAGAGAAAGAAAUUUAUUUAGACACACGUUAGGGAUACAAUUCCAACUACAGACAGGUCUACGGUCUCUGUGCUUUGGCACAGGUCUCUGCUUGUCCUGUACUCUUCCUCCUCUGCUGUUGUGUUACUUUCACUGUAAAAUCAAAUUACCUGUAAAGUCUCCUUGUUCCACAGCUGUCAUUCUUAACUUAAACCAAGUAUGAAACUCCUCCUCUUAGAGCUUCUCUGAGAGGAGGAGCAACACUGAAAAAGGACGAACGUAAACAACCAGAUUUUUCCUGAACUGAAAGUAAAAGUGAUCUGAGCACAGCAGAGCUGCAGUCGAGACAAGUCUCUUUAUAUCUCUGUUCAAACAAAUUCACCAGAAGGAUUGACUUCAAAAACGGUGAGUACACUGACUAACAAAGAUAAAAAACACUUUUCAGUCAACAUUUUGUUAAACUUGACCACAAAACUGCUUCAAAAACCAAACUACAGUGACUGUCCUCAGGCUGGUCUAAACUCCACAAAGUGCUAAUGUUGAGCUAUUUCACAGACUUUUAUCUUCCUUUUUCAGUCAUGAAGUUUUGAUGCUUUCAAAUCUCACUGAUUGAGUUUGUUGGGCACAUUCACAGAUAAGUCAGCAGGUAUAUUCAGCCAUCACACAGAAAACACCAGAUUAACUCAUUCAGCUACUUACAAACCAGCCGAGCUCUCUGCUGUUGGAAAACGCCCGCUGGUUUCAUGAGUUCAGAAAGUGACGAGGGCGGGGUCCAUUUUUAUCAGGGAGACUUCUUCAUGACAAUUAAACCACAAAAUUCAUGUUUUACAACUUCUACAACUGUAAUUAGUCUUGGGAAGAUGUUUUAACUUGAAGCUUUUUUAUAUAUCAGAGUUCCUGCUGUUUGACUUUAUAACCAGAAUCGUUGUUCCUGUUUUAACUUGAUGGAUGGGUGUGUCUGACACCAAACUCAAAGUCUGCUUAUUUCCUGUUAAACAUUAAAGAACAAUAAAAUUCUCCCUUAGUGCCAAGAUAUAUGAGUCAUCACAACCUGCCAACCUGAGGAUGUCUCCUCACUGGUUGACUGGCUCACAGUCUUUCGAUGCGAUCACUCUGUGACUUUAAAUCUUCAUCAGAUAUUGAACUUUUUAACAGCUGAAGGUUUUCUUGACUUUCAGGAUCAUUAGUGUGUCCAAGUCCACUGACACACAGAGUACUGUGAUCAAAGUUUGACCUUCUUUCUUGUUACAUUGUUAGAGGAUGCUGUAGACUUUCAGGUGAGGUCAGAGUUCAGAUGAGUCAAAGUCUCCAGGAUUUUAAAAAUAUUGUUCUGCUUUUUCCAAAAACACUCUGCAGUCUUUCCUUUUUCCAGAUUUAGGCCAGAAUUUAACUGAAAGUCACCAAAUUAUUCAUGACAGUAUCACGAUGAUGAUGACAAGGAUAGACUCAAAAAUAGAUCUACAGUAUAUGUUUAGUGUUUUAACGUGUUGAUCUUCCACUGAUAAUCCUCAGGUUGUAAAAAUGUCUGCUGCCAGCUGUCUGCUGACUGAAGAUCAGUUCCUGUGCUCCAUCUGUCUGGAUGUCUUCACUGAUCCUGUCACCAUACCAUGUGGACACAACUUCUGUAAAUCCUGCAUCUCUCAACACUGGGAUGUCAAUGUUCCACAUCAGUGUCCAAACUGUAACGAGGUUUUCUUCAGAAGACCAGAGCUGAAGAUCAACACCUUCAUCUCUGAGAUGUCCGCUCAGUUCAGACAGUCAGCUCAUGUGUCAGUCAGGAUGUGUGAGAAACACGACAAACUGCUGGAGCUGUUCUGUAAGAAUGACCAGAUGUGUGUCUGCAUGCUCUGCAGUGUUACAGACCACAGGACCCAUGAUGUUGUUCCUCUGAGAGAAGAAUAUGAAGGAAAGAAGGCCGAGCUGGGGAAGACAGAGGCUGAAAUUCAGCAGAUGAUCCUGGAGAGACGACUGAAGAUUGAAGAGCUCAAAGAGUCAGUGGAGCUCAGUACUAAGAAUGCAGACAGAGAGAUGGCUGAAGGUGUGGAGGUCUUCACGGCUCUGAAAGAAUCUGUAGAGAGAAGCCAGGCCGAGUUCAUCCACACCAUCAAAGAGAAGCAGAGAGAGACGGAGGAACAGGCUGAAGGCUUCAUCACAGAGCUGCAACAGGAAAUCUGGGAGCUGGAGAAGAGGAGCUCUGAGCUGGAGCAGCUCUCACGCUCUGAAGACCACCUCCACCUCCUCCAAAACUUCACCACCCUGAACGCUGCUCCACCCACCAAGAACUGGACUGAAGUCCGCGUCCAUCCACCUUCAUAUGAGGGGACUGUGGUGAGAGCUGUGGACCAGCUGGAGGAGACGCUCAGGGAACUAAUGAAGAAGCUGAUUGAGGCCGAGCUGAAGAGAGUCCAGCAGUGUGAGGUGGAUGUGACACUCGAUCCUGAUACAGCAAAUCCAUAUCUCAUCCUGUCUGAUGAUGGAAAACAAGUUUAUUGUGGUGAUGAAGAGAAGAAUCUACCAGACAAUCCAGAGAGAUUUGAUAAAUGUGUUUGUGUUUUAUCAAAGCAGAGUUUUUCUUCAGGCAGAUUUUACUUUGAGGUUCAGGUUAAAGGGAAGACUGACUGGGAUUUAGGAGUAGUUAGAGAGUCCAUCAACAGGAAGGGAGAAAUCACUCUGACUCCUGAAGAUGGUUUCUGGACGAUUGUGUUGAGAAAUGAAAAUGAGUACGAAGCUCUUGAUGACCCUUCAGUCGAUCUCUGUCUUCAGUCUGAUCCUGAGAAGGUGGGGGUGUUUGUGGACUAUGAGGAGGGUCUGGUCUCCUUUUAUGACGUUGAUGCUGCAGCUCUGAUCUACUCCUUCACCGGCUGCUCCUUCACAGAAAAACUCUUUCCAUACUUCUGUCCAUGUCCUAACGAUGGUGGUGAAAACUCUGCUCCUCUGAUCAUCUCUCCAGUCAAUCACACUGAGUAGAUGUUCUGAACAACGAUAACCAUCAUUAAUAUCAUAAAUCUACAUUAUUAUGAUGUUUUUACUUUAAAAUCCACAUCAGUAUGGAUACCAACAAUUUAAGUCCAUCUUUUUUUAAAUAUGCAGCAUUACUUCUUACUUCACUAAACCAAUGUUACAGUUUUGAUCAGUUUAAUCAAGUGUUAUUUUAUCAGUGUUCAGAACUUCUUUACCUUCACACCAGACUGUUAAAUCAGCUCAAAUCGUACUCAUCAUUCUUUAUUCUCAUCUUUAAAGUCUCUCUGCUGAGUUUAAGACCUCAUCUUUCUCUGAUCGUACCAGCAAAUGUCACUAAUGUCAAAGUGUAUUUGUCAGAUAUGUCAAUAAUAAACAACUAAACUAAGAGUCUUCUUCCUGUUUCAGUUAUUGCAGCGACAAUAACCACGGAUGAAUGAAUGAAUGAUUGUAAAAUUGACCACACCAGUCCAUCCAAAUAAAUCAGUAAAUGGGAAUUCUGGGUCUUUGGCGCCUCAGUGGUCUCAAGGCCUCAAGUGUUGUGACCUACUGAUGAUCAGAACCUGUUCUGACCCUGAAAAACAGAUAUCCAUAAAGCCUUACUAAUUUGAGACACUUCCAUAAAGGAUUCUUGUCAGCCUCUUUUCAUGAUGAAUUAACAUCUAAACAAAUACUUUAAUUCAGUUUCCUGUCAGUUCACUUAUCUCCCAGCUUUCAGUCGUUUAAUCUUUUGCCGUUAUUUACUGACAACAUGUGAAAGAUAUCACUGGUUUAUUUCUAUAUGAAUAAUCUUACUGAUAAUAUUGAUUGAAGUGUAUUGGAAGUGAUGUAAUCAUGAGACUCUCCAGCAGACUGUUCCACAAACGGGGACCAUAGAAACUGAAAGCCGCCUCCUCGUGAGUUUUUGCAAACUUUGUAAGAUUUCUGAGGUUUUGUUUUCACACUUCAAGCCUCCAGUUUACUCCCUCUGUUCCUUUUUUUUUCCUUUUAUAGACGGCCCCAGAGUGAGACGGUGAAGUCGAGUUUCAACUGCAAGAAUCUCCCCAGACGGAUGAGACAUAAGAACAAGCUGAAGCUGAACUCAACUUCACACACUUGAGACGAUACAAAGACUCAAACCGCUUCAGUCUAGAGGGUCAGAGGUCAGGUCUGAAAAACACCCCAAAAUCAAAACACUGUGAACUUCAAGAUGACCUGAGAGGGCUGUAUCUACUUUGUCCACUAGAUGGCGGACUAGAGCUGAAAAUAAUUUGCUCAGAUAAGAAUAACAGGAACCUUUAGAGUUUAUUUUAAUCUGUUUUAGGACCAAAUCAGAGGUUUUCUUGGACAUUCAGAUCUUUAAUAGUACAUGGUUACUGCACAAGAAUUAUCACACUGUUGAUUCUCACUGAGGGAUUUAUGAGCAUAGGUGUCCAUGUUCAUGUUUUCUGUGGACCAUUUCUUCUGUUUAUUAAAUCAAGUUUGGCUACAAGUAAUAAUGUGAUGUUUAAGUUUAUGUAAACGUUCCUACUUUCCUUAAAUCUACCACAAAUGUUUAGCUCGAGUAAACGGCGUGUUACAUAGAUAAUUUAAUUAUUCAUGGAGCACAGGAUGUUCUUCUUUUCUCAGUUUCUGACUGAAAAUUAAAAUGUUAAUUUGAGUUAAAAACUGUGUGAGGAAAGUAAAAACAUCUGAUUUAAGACCGAUUUAGAAAAAGCAAGUAAAAACAAACUUCUCAAAAACUAAAAUGAGAUUAAUCUUGAU